rnacentral:rRNA from 1 species
UGAGGAAUAUUGGUCAAUGGGCGAGAGCCUGAACCAGCCAAGUAGCGUGCAGGAUGACGGCCCUAUGGGUUGUAAACUGCUUUUAUAUGGGAAUAAAGUGAGGGACGUGUCCCUUAUUGCAUGUACUAUACGAAUAAGGACCGGCUAAUUCCGUGCCAGCAGCCGCGGUAAUACGGAAGGUCCAGGCGUUAUCCGGAUUUAUUGGGUUUAAAGGGAGCGUAGGCUGUUUGUUAAGCGUGUUGUGAAAUGUAGGAGCUCAACUUUUAGAUUGCAGCGCGAACUGGCAGACUUGAGUGCGCACAACGUAGGCGAAAUUCAUGGUGUAGCGGUGAAAUGCUUGGAUAUCAUGUCGAACUCCGAUUGCGAAGGCAGCUUACGGGAGCGCAACUGACGCUAAAGCUCGAAAGUGCGGGUAUCGAACAGG